CCUACGGGUGGCAGCAGUGGGGAAUAUUGCACAAUGGGCGCAAGCCUGAUGCAGCGACGCCGCGUGCGGGAUGGAGGCCUUCGGGUUGUAAACCGCUUUUGUUCAAGGGCAAGGCACGGUCUUUGGCCGGGUUGAGUGGAUGGUUGGAAUAAGAACCGGCUAAUUACGUCCCAGCAGCGGCGGUAAUAAGUAGGGUGCAAGCGUUAUCCGGAGUUAUUGGGCGGAAAGGGCUGGUAGGCGGUUCGUCGCGUCCGGUGUGAAAGUCAAUCGCUUAACGGUGGAUCCGCGCCGGGUACGGGCGGGCUUGAGUGCGGUAGGGGAGACUGGAAUUCCCGGUGUAACGGUGGAAUGUGUAGAUAUCGGGAAGAACACCAAUGGCGAAGGCAGGUCUCUGGGCCGUUACUGACGCUGAGGAGCGAAAGCGUGGGGAGCGAACAGGAUUAGAUACCCUGGUAGUC
rnacentral:rRNA from 1 species